rnacentral:rRNA from 1 species
GGAACUGAGACACGGUCCAGACACCUACGGGUGGCAGCAGUCGAGAAUCAUUCGCAAUGGGGGAAACCCUGACGAUGCGACGCCGCGUGGAGGAUGAAGGCCUUAGGGUUGUAAACUCCUGUCAAGAGGGAAUAAGCAAGUGAAGGUACCUCUAGAGGAAGGGGCGGCUAAUUCCGUGCCAUCAGCCGCGGUAACACGGAAGCCCCGAGCGUUGUUCGGAUUCAUUGGGCGUAAAGGGUGCGUAGGCGGCGCGGAAAGUCCGGCGUGAAAGGCAGGGGCUCAACCUCUGGACUGCGUUGGAUACUUCCGUGCUUGAGGACUGGAGGGGAGACUGGAGUUCACGGUGUAGCAGUGAAAUGCGUAGAUAUCGUGAGGAAGACCGGUGGCGAAGGCGAGUCUCUGGACAGAUCCUGACGCUGAGGCACGAAGGCUGGGGGAGCGAACAGGAUUAGAUACCCUGGUAGUCCCAGCAGUAAACGAUGUGAGCUUGAUGUGGGGGGAUUCGACCCCUUCCGUGUCGAAGCUAACGCGAUAAGCUCACCGCCUGAGGAGUACGGCCGCAAGGCUAAAACUCAAAGAAAUUGACGGGGACCCGCACAAGCGGUGGAGUAUGUGGCUUAAUUCGAUGCAACGCGAAGAACCUUACCUGGCCUUGACAUGCAUUGUGUCGUCGGUGAAAGCCGGCUAGUCCUGGAAACAGGACGCUUUGCACAGGUGCUGCAUGGCUGUCGUCAGCUCGUGUCGUGAGAUGUUGGGUUAAGUCCCGCAACGAGCGCAACCCUUGUGGUCAGUUACUAACCGGCUUAGCCGGAGGACUCUGGCCAGACUGCCCUGUCAAACGGGGAGGAAGGUGGGGACGACGUCAAGUCAGUAUGGCCCUUAUGGCCAGGGCUGCACACGUACUACAAUGCCCGGUACAAUGUGAACCGAAACCGCGAGGUGGAGGAAAUCGCUCUUGAAAACCGGGCCCAGUUCGGAUUGGAGUCUGCAACUCGACUCCAUGAAGUCGGAAUCGCUAGUAAUGGCGUAUCAGCAACGACGCCGUGAAUACGUUCCCGGGUCUUGACACACCGCCCGUCACAUCAUGAA